rnacentral:rRNA from 1 species
AUUGAACGCUGGCGGCAUGCCUUACACAUGCAAGUCGAACGGUAACGCGGGGCAACCUGGCGACGAGUGGCGAACGGGUGAGUAAUGCAUCGGAACGUGCCCAGUAGUGGGGGAUAACUGCUCGAAAGAGCAGCUAAUACCGCAUACGACCUGAGGGUGAAAGCGGGGGAUCGCAAGACCUCGCGCUAUUGGAGCGGCCGAUGUCAGAUUAGGUAGUUGGUGGGGUAAAGGCCCACCAAGCCAACGAUCUGUAGCUGGUCUGAGAGGACGACCAGCCACACUGGGACUGAGACACGGCCCAGACUCCUACGGGAGGCGGCAGUGGGGAAUUUUGGACAAUGGACGCAAGUCUGAUCCAGCCAUGCCGCGUGCGGGAAGAAGGCCUUCGGGUUGUAAACCGCUUUUGUCAGGGAAGAAACGCUCUGGGUUAAUACCUCGGGGUAAUGACGGUACCUGAAGAAUAAGCACCGGCUAACUACGUGCCAGCAGCCGCAGUAAUAC